rnacentral:lncRNA from 1 species
UACACCGUUAGAGCCGGCCCUGAGUGUAAUAUAUUUGUGAAGUUGGUUGUGAUUUGGCAAUUCACCAUCAUCUAGUGCGUUCAUUUGACAUACAGUUUAAUGGGUUUGUGGUGUUUGAUGAAAAUAGGUUCUUUUGAAAUCGAUUUUGAACAUAUCGUUAAUUUGUAUACAGAAAUUUGUUAAUUUAAUCUACAAUUUAACGAGUUUGGUGAUGGUUGAUAGAAUUGAUGAUGAUGAAUUUGGCAGCGGUUGGUAAAAUGAUGGUAGUGGCUAGUGAAAUCGGUGGUGUAGACUAGGCGGUGACUAGUAAAAUUGGUGGUGAUUAAGUUUGUG